rnacentral:rRNA from 1 species
UACGUAGGGGGCGAGCGUUUGUCCGGAUUUAUUGGGCGUAAAGAGCGUGUAGGCGGCCAGGUAGGUCUGCUGUGAAAACUCGAGGCUCAACCUCGAGACGUCGGCGGAAACCAUCUGGCUAGAGUCCGGAAGAGGAGAGUGGAAUUCCUGGUGUAGCGGUGAAAUGCGCAGAUAUCAGGAGGAACACCGGUGGCGAAGGCGGGUCUCUGGGCCGAUACUGACGCUGAGGAGCGAAAGCGUGGGGAGCGAACAGG